UCCCUGGUGGCUCAGAUGGUAAAGCGUCUGCCUGCAACGCGGGAGACCCGGGUUCUAUUCCUGGGUCGGGAA
rfam:Ovis aries breed Texel chromosome 4, whole genome shotgun sequence.